rnacentral:rRNA from 1 species
AACGCUGGCGGCGCGCUUAACACAUGCAAGUCGAGCGAGAACCGGAGCUUCGGCUCCGGGGACAGCGGCGAACGGGUGAGUAACACGUGGGUAAUCUGCCCUCGGUUCCGGGAUAGCCCGGGGAAACUCGGAUUAAUACCGGAUAGCCUCUCUGGCCUUCGGGCCGGCGAGAAAAGGUAGCUUCGGCCUCCGACCGAGGAUGAGCCCGCGGCGGAUUAGCUUGUUGGCGGGGUAACGGCCCACCAAGGCGACGAUCCGUAGCUGGUCUGAGAGGCCGAUCAGCCACACUGGGACUGAGACACGGCCCAGACUCCUACGGGAGGCAGCAGUGGGGAAUCUUGCGCAAUGGGCGAAAGCCUGACGCAGCGACGCCGCGUGAGGGAAGAAGGCCUUCGGGUUGUAAACCUCUUUCAGGCGGGACGAAGCCACUCGGGUGAACAGCCCAGAGGGUGACGGUACCGUCAGAAGAAGCCCCGGCUAACUACGUGCCAGCCGCCGCCGUAA